CCGCGCCUCGCGUCCGCACGUCCACGCUCCGCCGGCCCCGGGGACUGGCCCUCGGCGGCGACUGGUGGCUCCCAGGCCUCCGGGCAGGUAAAACAGGUCUCCGUAAAGUCUGAGACGCCAUCGCCACUCUGUGGGUUUACGCGUCCAAAGGACCCCCUUGGGCACUCACAGUCUGUUAGUCUAUCUAACUUCAGAAGCCAAACGCAGAGGUGAAGCUGGUCGUAUUUCGGCUAAGUCAACUAAGAAAAGCAAACAGCCUCCCUCACCAAGGGCAACCGACAAGUUCCUUACCUGCCCUGAGGACUAGAGUUUUCAUCUCACUGAAAAUUCAGAAUCAAAAUCAAAAACAGCUGAGGUAGUUACUCGGGUGCCUUCCUUCAGCUUAUUCAAAAGAAUAUAGGAUGAACGAUCUCAGUCUCAUGCUGCUCUUGAAGAAUUAAGCUGCCAUGUUGUGAACUGCCUAUGGAGAAGUUCAUGUGGCAAGUAGCAUGGACAGCCUCUAGGAACUAAGGAUGUCAGUCAUACAGCACCAAGAAAUGAAUUCUGUCAACCACCAGAAUGAGAAUGGAAACAGAUUCUUCCCCAGUCGAGUCUCCAGAUGGGAUCACAACCUAGCUAGUACUUUGACUGUAGCCUUGUUAGACUCUUAGCAGAGCAGCUAUGCUACGCCAGACUCCUGAACCACAGAAACUUCAA